AGUGAACGCUGGCGGUAGGCCUAACACAUGCAAGUCGAACGGCAGCACAGUAAGAGCUUGCUCUUACGGGUGGCGAGUGGCGGACGGGUGAGGAAUACAUCGGAAUCUACUUUUUCGUGGGGGAUAACGUAGGGAAACUUACGCUAAUACCGCAUACGACCUACGGGUGAAAGCAUGGGAUCUUCGGACCUUGCGCGAUUGAAUGAGCCGAUGUCGGAUUAGCUAGUUGGCGGGGUAAAGGCCCACCAAGGCGACGAUCCGUAGCUGGUCUGAGAGGAUGAUCAGCCACACUGGAACUGAGACACGGUCAAGACGCCUAAGGGAGGCAGCAGUGGGGAAUAUUGGACAAUGGGCGCAAGCCUGAUCCAGCCAUACCGCGUGGGUGAAGAAGGCCUUCGGGUUGUAAAGCCCUUUUGUUGGGAAAGAAAAGCAGCAGGUUAAUACCCCGCUGUUCUGACGGUACCCAAAGAAUAAGCACCGGCUAACUUCGUG
rnacentral:rRNA from 1 species